rnacentral:rRNA from 1 species
GAUGAACGCUGGCGGUGUGCCUAAUACAUGCAAGUCGAACGGGAUCUUCGGAUCUAGUGGCGAACGGGUGAGUAACACGUUGGUACCUACCCCGAAGUGGGGAAUAACUGCCCGAAAGGGUGGCUAAUACCGCAUAAUACCGCAAGGUUAAAGCAGUAAUGCGCUUCGGGAGGGGCCUGCGUCCCAUUAGCUAGUUGGUAGGGUAAUGGCCUACCAAGGCGACGAUGGGUAGCUGGAUCGAGAGGUUGACCAGCCACACUGGGACUGAGAUACGGCCCAGACUCCUACGGGAGGCAGCAGUAAGGAAUCUUCCACAAUGGACGAAGGUCUGAUGGAGCAACA